AACUUUGUGCAGUGGCAGCAUCGUAGCCAAUUAGGUUUAACCAAGGUGCCAUUAUUGCUAAUUGAAAACUAAUUAUUCCCUUAACUUUUAGGAAAAGCUACCCCCCCCCCACUCUCCUGUAUAUGUUGUAGCCUUCUAUUAGAGUGUAUGCUCCUUGAGGAU
ensembl:snRNA U4 U4 spliceosomal RNA